rnacentral:rRNA from 1 species
CCUACGGGGCGCAGCAGUGAGGAAUAUUGGUCAAUGGUCGGGAGACUGAACCAGCCAAGCCGCGUGAGGGAUGAAGGUACAGAGUAUCGUAAACCUCUUUUGUCAGGGAACAAAGGCGGGGACGUGUCCCCGGAUGAGUGUACCUGAAGAAAAAGCAUCGGCUAACUCCGUGCCAGCAGCCGCGGUAAUACGGAGGAUGCGAGCGUUAUCCGGAUUUAUUGGGUUUAAAGGGUGCGCAGGCGGUCUGUUAAGUCAGCGGUAAAAGCCCGGGGCUCAACCCCGGCCCGCCGUUGAAACUGGCAGUCUCGAGUUGGAGAGAAGUAUGCGGAAUGCGCGGUGUAGCGGUGAAAUGCAUAGAUAUCGCGCAGAACUCCGAUUGCGAAGGCAGCAUGCCGGCUCCACACUGACGCUGAGGCACGAAAGCGUGGGUAUCGAACAGGAUUAGAUACCCUAGUAGUC